rnacentral:tRNA from 1 species
GCCUGGGUGGCUCAGUCGGUUAAGCAUCCGACUUUGGCUCAGGUCAUGAUCUCACGGUUGGUGGGUUCGAGCCCCACGUCGGGCU